rnacentral:piRNA from 1 species
UAGUUACAGAUGGUUGUGAGCCACCAUGU